AGACUUGUAAUAGCAGCAUGCGUCGGUUAAACCGUAGGCUGCUAAUGCAAGCCC
rnacentral:pre_miRNA from 1 species